rnacentral:rRNA from 1 species
UACGUAGGGCGCAAGCGUUGUCCGGAAUUAUUGGGCGUAAAGAGCUCGUAGGCGGUUUGUCGCGUCUGCUGUGAAAACCCGAGGCUCAACCUCGGGCCUGCAGUGGGGUACGGGCAGACUAGAGUGCGGUAGGGGGAGAUUGGAAUUCCUGGUGUAGCGGUGGAAUGCGCAGAUAUCAGGAGGAACACCAAUGGCGAAGGCAGAUCUCUGGGCCGUAACUGACGCUGAGGAGCGAAAGCAUGGGGGAGCGAACAGG